AGCGAACGCUGGCGGCAGGCCUAACACAUGCAAGUCGAACGGAUCCUUCGGGAUUAGUGGCAGACGGGUGAGUAACACGUGGGAACGUGCCCUUUGGUUCGGAACAACUCAGGGAAACUUGAGCUAAUACCGGAUGUGCCCUUCGGGGGAAAGAUUUAUCGCCAUUGGAGCGGCCCGCGUCUGAUUAGCUAGUUGGUGAGGUAAAGGCUCACCAAGGCGACGAUCAGUAGCUGGUCUGAGAGGAUGAUCAGCCACACUGGGACUGAGACACGGCCCAGACUCCUACGGGAGGCAGCAGUGGGGAAUCUUGCGCAAUGGGCGAAAGCCUGACGCAGCCAUGCCGCGUGAAUGAUGAAGGUCUUAGGAUUGUAAAAUUCUUUCACCGGGGACGAUAAUGACGGUACCCGGAGAAGAAGCUCCGGCUAACUUCGUGCCAGCCGCCGCAGUAAAAC
rnacentral:rRNA from 1 species